GAUGAAGAACGUAGUGAAAUGCGAUAAGUAAUGUGAAUUGCAGAAUUCAGUGAAUCAUCGAAUCUUUGAACGCACAUUGCGCCCCUUGGUAUUCCGGGGGGCAUGCCUGUUCGAGCGUCAUUAUAACCCCUCAAGCUCAGCUUGGUGUUGGGGCCUGCCAACUGGCAGCCCUUAAAAUCAGUGGCGGCGCCAUCUGGCUCUAAGCGUAGUAAUUUCUCUCGCUAUAGGGUCCCGGUGGAUGCUUGCCAACAACCCCCAAUUUUCUAUGGUUGACCUCGGAUCAGGUAGGGAUACCCGCUGAACUUAAGCAUAUCAAAAGCGGAGGA
rnacentral:misc_RNA from 1 species